rnacentral:rRNA from 1 species
UCAGGACGAACGCUGGCGGCGUGCCUAAUACAUGCAAGUCGAGCGGCUUUCUAUGGAAGCUUGCUUCCACUGAGAAGAUAGUGGCGAACGGGUGAGUAACACGUGGGUAACCUGCCCAUAAGAGGGGGGAUAACAUCCGGAAACGGGUGCUAAUACCGCAUAGUUUUCUUGAUCGCAUGAUCGGGAAAGGAAAGACGGCCUUUGUGCUGUCGCUUAUGGAUGGACCCGCGGCGUAUUAGUUAGUUGGUGAGGUAACGGCUCACCAAGACGAUGAUACGUAGCCGACCUGAGAGGGUGAUCGGCCACAUUGGGACUGAGACACGGCCCAAACUCCUACGGGAGGCAGCAGUAGGGAAUCUUCCGCAAUGGACGAAAGUCUGACGGAGCAACGCCGCGUGAGUGAAAGAAGGUUUUCGGAUCGUAAAACUCUGUUGUCAGAGAAGAACAAGUUGGAGAGUAACUGCUCCAGCCUUGACGGUAUCUGACCAGAAAGCCACGGCUAACUACGUGCCAGCCGCCGC